rnacentral:misc_RNA from 1 species
AUCAAACCAACACCUAUCCACAAGCUAAGCUACUAAAGCUGACAAGCUAUUUCAAAGUUUGGGAGACUAUUUGUGAUGGAUUUUGGGGUUUUCGAUGGUUGGUGGUGGCGAUUCUUCAUGGAUUUGAUUCUCUCUCUUCUUGGUUUUUUGUUGAUCCACCAUUGUUACCACUAAUCUUGUCUUGCAGAUGGCCGUUGAUCA